UAUGGCCAUAUCACCUUGAAACUCUGGUUCUUGUACGAUCACUGAAGUCAAGCAACAUCGAGCCUGGUCAGUACUUAGAUUGGUAACUGAUUGGGAAUAUCAGGUUCUGUAAG